GUCGCUAGUUACCUGUAGGGCUGUGCAGUGUGCAGAUAUACCAUGGCAUAAUCGGUGUGCGAUAAAAAAAAAAUACACUAAUAAAGGACCCUCGCUUACCACGCUCGUUUUGAACCAAGUGAAAUCCACUUUCUUUGUUAAGAAAACAGAGGUAUAAUAUUGAACAAGGGCGGCUGCAUUUGAAUACUAGAAAUCACAAACUUAUUGUGUACAAUGUACGUAGGUACCUACUUCAUCUAAUCCGGCGUUUACCUUCAUAUCUACUCUUUAUCAGAUUUAUCAGGUAUUUGUUUUACUUUUAUCAUUUAUACGCAGGUUGAUAAGGAAAUAAAGGUUAUUUUUAAGGCAAUUUGAUUUCUAUUUCUUUUCGUGAACGAUUGAUAAAGACCAGUUCGUAUAUCCACUAAUUAAAAGGAUUUUUUUU